GUUAGGAAUAUUGGACAAUGGGCGAAAGCCUGAUCCAGCCAUGCCGCGUGAACGAUGAAGGCCUUCGGGUUGUAAAGUUCUUUAGCCGAUGAUUAUAAUGACUGUAGUCGGAAAAUAAGCCCCGGCUAACUUCGUGCCAGCAGCCGCGGUAAUACGAAGGGGGCGAGCGUUAUUCGGAAUCACUGGGCGUAAAGCGUGCGUAGGCGGUUUUGUAAGUUAGGAGUGAAAGCCCAGGGCUCAACCUUGGAAUUGCUCUUAAAACUGCAAGGCUCGAAUCUCGGAGAGGAUAGCGGAAUUUCCAGUGUAGCAGUGAAAUGCGUAGAUAUUGGAAGGAACACCAGUGGCGUAAGCGGCUAUCUGGACGAGUAUUGACGCUGAGGCACGAAAGUGUGGGGAUCGAACAGGAUUAGAAACCCCAGUAGUCC
rnacentral:rRNA from 1 species